rnacentral:rRNA from 1 species
AGGCUGCAACUCGCCUACACGAAGUCGGAAUCGCUAGUAAUCGCGGAUCAGCAUGCCGCGGUGAAUACGUUCCCGGGCCUUGUACACACCGCCCGUCAAACCAUGAGAGUUGGCAACACCGAAGUCGGUAGUCUAACCGCAAGGAGGACGCCGCCGAAGGUGGGGUCGAUGAUUAGGGUUAAGUCGUAACAAGGUACC